GUGCUGUGUAGUUGCUUCAGCUGAGGACCCUUAUGGCAAUCUCAUUUUGAAAACAAGCUCUGAGACUCUAGAAUUGAUUUGAGGAGGGAGUGGGUUGAGUGAAAGAGAAAUCUGAUCUAAAAAUACAGGGUCUGUAGAGAUGAUUUUGCAUCUAAGGGUAUUUUCAUCAUAGCAGCUAAUUUCUACUGUUAUGGACUGAAUGUUUGUGUCCCCUCAAAAUCCAUGGAUUGAAAUCCAUACCCAGGUGAAAUGAUAUUUGGGGGUGGGGGCUUUGGGAGGUAAUUAGGUCAUGAGGCUGGAGCCCUCACGUGGACUUAUAAAAAGAGGAAGAGCUGGACGAUCUGGCUUUUUCUCCCAGCAUGCAUCAGAGGAAGUCUUGUGAGGACCUAAGAGGAAGACAUCCCUCAGCGAGACCUGGGCCACACUGGCACUCUGACCUUGGACUUCCAGACUCCCGAACUGCAGAUUCUUCACCCCUGAGCCACCAGCUGCUACUGCUGCUGCUAAGUCGCUUCAGUCGUGUCCGACUCUCUACAAUCCCAUAGACGGCAGCCCACCAGGCUCCCCCGUCCCUGGGAUUCUCCAGGCAAGAACACUGGAGUGGGUUGCCAUUUCCUUCUCCAAUGCGUGAAAGUGAAGUCACUCAGUCGUGUCCGACUCUUAGCGACCCCAUGGACUGCAGCCUACCAGGCUCUUCCAUCCAUGGGAUUUUCCAGCAGAAGCACCCGCUCAACCAGAAGGAGCUACAUUCUCCUCACAGCAACAACUCCUUAAAGAUAACAUUCCUUCCUAAUCUUCUCAAGGCCCAAGACACUUCCAUCUGGAUUGUGUAAACUGUCAAUAAUGCACCACUUAUUGUAUAGCCCUCUGUUUCAAAAAAUGUAUAUAACUGUGCUUUGACUUCUAAUGGGUGGAACAGUUUUCCGAGCUUUCUGAGAUGCUGUUCCCAGGUUAGGAUCCUCAAAUUC
ensembl:lncRNA